UUCAAUACCUGCAUCACAUUGAACUUUCAUUUUUCAUUUUCAGGUCGACACAGAACAACAGAGAAUCCAGUGGCAUCUUACCUGUAGAAGAAUCUCACCUGUCAACAGGAAAAAUGAGUGCAGACGACAUCCACACUCAGACUGAUGAGAGAGCAGCUCCAUGUGCACAUCAGAGCUCAUCUGACACUGAGAUGAUGAUGAUGAUGAUGAUGUUGAAUGAGCCGGAACCUUCUCAGAGUCUGGAGGCGGACAGAUCUGAGGAUGUUUUUUGCAACAUCACGUGAGACUCUUCAAUCAGAUGAGAUACUGGUGGCCUGCGAUCUGAAGUUUAAGUUCUUAGCAUAAGAUUUCAUCUUACAUCCCCCAUGUAAGAGCAUCUCACACCCCACACCGAGAUGACUGAUGCAGUUUUAGUGUGACAGGACUUUCAUCAUCGCUGUCUUCUGCUCCUCAAACUGAUAAGAGCUGGAGUCAACCGCAGUGCAGAUGUGUUUGUUUAUCUGAGCUGUUCGCUAGAGGAUGACCGUACAGACAGAUCGCUCGCUGUUCACACCCCACACGACUUCCUCCCAGAGAGACUGCUGUCAUGCUUUAAUGCCACUGAUAAAACUCCACUUAUUACACACAAUGCAAAGUCUGCUUUAAAGGAACAUUUACUCCCCCAACAAAAUGAAAAUUUGCUGAAAAUGUUCAAAGGCCAUCCAGGGGAGUUUUUUUCACCAUGGGAACAGGUUUGGAUAAAUGUAGCAUUCCAUCACUUGCUCACCAAUGGAUGCUCUGCAGUGAAUGGGUGCCGUCAGAAUGAGAGUCUAAACAGCUGAUAAAAACAUCACAAUAUUCCACAAGUAAUCCACACCACUCCAGUACAUCAAUAUAUGGCCUUGUGAAGUGGAAAAGCUGUGUGUUUCUAAGAAACAAAUUCCUCGAGGAGUUUUCAUUUCAAACCACUUCAAACUCAUCCACAUAUUGCACUGCACUGUUGUCCAUCUAUAAGGCAAAAGCAGCAGUUUGAAAAGGAAUUACACAAGUGGAGUGUUUCUUUUCCAAUUCCACUAAGAUUGGACAUGUAGUAGAUGUUUCCUCCAUCUUUAUUCCAAAAUAUGUUUCAUAUAUUUGUUUGCUGUGUGUGUCUUAUAAGAUGUAAUAAUACGUAUGACACUAUAUUGUGUUUUGGUGUCUUUAACAAGUCCUUACAAUUAUAUUCUUAACUCAUAUUGUUGCUAUUGUGAAAAGCUUCUUUGUCACUAUUAAACUUCUUUGGAUUUGACUCGA